UACGGAGGAUGCAAGCGUUAUCCGGAAUGAUUGGGCGUAAAGCGUCCGCAGGUGGCGAUGUAAGUCUGCUGUUAAAGAGUGAGGCUCAACCUCAUAAGAGCAGUGGAAACUACAUAGCUAGAGUGCGGUAGGGGCAGAGGGAAUUCCUGGUGUAGCGGUGAAAUGCGUAGAUAUCUGGAGGAACACCGGUGGCGAAGGCGCCCACCUGGCCUGCUACUGACGCUGAAGCUCGAAAGCUAGGGGAGCAAACGGG
rnacentral:rRNA from 1 species